rnacentral:rRNA from 1 species
UACAGAGGGUGCUAGCGUUGUUCGGAAUCAUUGGGCGUAAAGGGCGUGUAGGCGGUUUGUUAAGUCAUGUGUGAAAUCCCUCGGCUCAACCGGGGAACGACGCAUGAAACUGGCAAGCUAGAGUACCAAAGAGGGUCGCGGAAUUCCCGGUGUAGAGGUGAAAUUCGUAGAUAUUCGGAAGAACACCAGUGGCGAAGGCGACUCGCUGGACAGGUAUUGACGCUGAGGUGCGAAAGCGUGGGGAGCAAACAGG